UGGCGUACGGGUGAGUAACACGUGGAUCAUCUACCUCUUAGUGGGGAAUAACUCUGGGAAACCGGAGCUAAUACCGCAUAAGCCUGGAAAGGGAAAGCCCCUAUUUAAAAGAUGGGGGCGCUGAGAGAGGAGUCCGCGGCCGAUUAGCUAGUUGGCAGGGUAAAAGCCUACCAAGGCAUUGAUCGGUAGCCGGCCUGAGAGGGCACACGGCCACACUGGCACUGAAACACGGGCCAG
rnacentral:rRNA from 1 species